UUUUUUUUCUCUUUCUCCAAAAAAAAAAACCCCCCCAAAUAUGGCGUCAAUUUCAUGGGUUUUGAAUUCUCUAUUCUCGAUAUUGCUACUGACUCAGCGAGUCAACUCGGAAUCAACCGCAGAAAAACAAGCACUCCUCACUUUCCUU
rnacentral:sRNA from 1 species